UGCAUACUGUUGGAGUGGUUAAGACGUUGGACUUCUGAUCGGAAGGUUGAGAGUUCAAAUCCCACCAUGACCAA